rnacentral:rRNA from 1 species
UACGUAGGGGGCAAGCGUUGUUCGGAAUUACUGGGCGUAAAGCGCACGUAGGCGGCUUUGUAAGUUAGAGGUGAAAGCCCGGGGCUCAACUCCGGAAUUGCCUUUAAGACUGCAUCGCUAGAAUUGUGGAGAGGUAAGUGGAAUUCCGAGUGUAGAGGUGAAAUUCGUAGAUAUUCGGAAGAACACCAGUGGCGAAGGCGACUUACUGGACACAUAUUGACGCUGAGGUGCGAAAGCGUGGGGAGCAAACAGG